UACGAGGGGGGCGAGCGUUGUUCGGAAUUAUUGGGCGUAAAGGGUGCGUAGGCGGUUUGGUAAGUCUGAUGUGAAAUCUAUGGGCUCAACUCAUAGUCUGCAUCGGAAACUGCCGGGCUUGAGUAUGGGAGAGGUGAGUGGAAUUCCUGGUGUAGCGGUGAAAUGCGUAGAUAUCAGGAGGAACACCAGUGGCGAAGGCGACUUCCUGGCCUGUUCUUGACGCUGAGGCGCGAAAGCUAGGGGAGCAAACGGG
rnacentral:rRNA from 1 species